rnacentral:rRNA from 1 species
ACGCACGCUGGCGGCGUGCUUAACACCUGCCAGUCGCACGGAAAGGCCCUGCUUUUGUGGGGUGCUCGAGUGGCGAACGGGUGAGUAACACGUGAGUAACCUGCCCUUGACUUUGGGAUAACUUCAGGAAACUGGGGCUAAUACCGGAUAGGAGCUCCUGCUGCAUGGUGGGGGUUGGAAAGUUUCGGCGGUUGGGGAUGGACUCGCGGCUUAUCAGCUUGUUGGUGGGGUAGUGGCUUACCAAGGCUUUGACGGGUAGCCGGCCUGAGAGGGUGACCGGCCACAUGGGGACUGAGAUACGGCCCAGACUCCUACGGGAGGCAGCAGUGGGGAAUAUUGCACAAUGGGCGGAAGCCUGAUGCAGCAACGCCGCGUGCGGGAUGACGGCCUUCGGGUUGUAAACCGCUUUCGCCUGUGACGAAGCGUGAGUGACGGUAAUGGGUAAAGAAGCACCGGCUAACUACGUG